rnacentral:rRNA from 1 species
AGUGAACGCUGGCGGUAGGCCUAACACAUGCAAGUCGAACGGCAGCACAGUAAGAGCUUGCUCUUACGGGUGGCGAGUGGCGGACGGGUGAGGAAUACAUCGGAAUCUACUUUUUCGUGGGGGAUAACGUAGGGAAACUUACGCUAAUACCGCAUACGACCUACGGGUGAAAGCAUGGGAUCUUCGGACCUUGCGCGAUUGAAUGAGCCGAUGUCGGAUUAGCUAGUUGGCGGGGUAAAGGCCCACCAAGGCGACGAUCCGUAGCUGGUCUGAGAGGAUGAUCAGCCACGCUGGAACUGAGACACGGUCCAGACUCCUACGGGAGGCAGCAGUGGGGAAUAUUGGACAAUGGGCGCAAGCCUGAUCCAGCCAUACCGCGUGGGUGAAGAAGGCCUUCGGGUUGUAAAGCCCUUUUGUUGGGAAAGAAAAGCAGCAGGUUAAUACCCCGCUGUUCUGACGGUACCCAAAGAAUAAGCACCGGCUAACUUCGUG